AAGUCGUAACAAGGUUUCCGUAGGUGAACCUGCGGAAGGAUCAUUAUUGAAUGAAUUUAGGAGUUGGUUUGAUGCUGGCCGACAACCCCAAGGGCAUGUGCACGCCUUCUCCUUCAUCCACACACACCUGUGCACUUGUGAGACGCGAGGAUUAAUUUCCUCCGUCUACUAAUCACACAAACUCAUUGUAAAUUGAACUGAAUGUAAUUGAUGUAACACAUCAUUUGAACUAAGUUUCAACAACGGAUCUCUUGGCUCUC
rnacentral:misc_RNA from 2 species